rnacentral:lncRNA from 1 species
GAUUCGUAUACAACAGUGAUGAUGAGAUUGAAAGGGAGGAGGAUAUGAUACGCUUGAAGGGAUUGCCAACACCUAAAGGGAAGCACCUGCGCUUUCUUAUAGAGGAAGAAGAAGGUGCAUGACUGAAAUUUUUUUAAAAAACAUUUCUGGGUUUUUUUGGUAGAUAUCCAUCGGUUGUCUUUCUUGACACCCAUCUUUGAGCUGCUUUUUGUUUCCCAAAAAGAUACUUGGAAACUUGAAAUUGAUUGAAUAAUAAAGAAUUAUCUUUUCUCUCCUUCAUGGU